GUCUUUUUGAGAAUAAUUUAAAGUCUAAUCUGCCCACUGAAUAUAAUUUAAAGGGCUGCAGUAUAUUGACUGUACAAAGGUAGCAUAAUCAGUAGUCUUUUAAUUGAAGACUUGUAUGAAUGAUUUGAUGAGAUAUAAACUGUCUCUUUAUUAAUAGUAGAAAUUAAUUUUUUAGUUAAAAAGCUAAAAUAAUUAUAAAAGACGAGAAGACCCUAUAGAGUUUAAUAUUUAUUUAUAUUUAAAUUUUAUAUAAAUUUUUAAAUUUAAAUAUAAAUAAAUAUUUUGUUGGGGUGAUAGAAAAAUUUAAUAAACUUUUUUUAAAAAUUUAACAUUAAUUUAUGAAUAAAUGAUCCAUUAAUUAUGAUUAUAAGAAUAAAUUACCUUAGGGAUAACAGCGUAAUUUUUUUUUUUAGUUCAAAUAAAAAUUAAAGUUUGCGACCUCGAUGUUGGAUUAAGAUAAAAUUUAAAUGCAAACGUUUAAAAUUUUGAUCUGUUCGAUCAUUAAAAUCUUACA
rnacentral:rRNA from 1 species